UAAUGUGAAUUGCAAAAUUCAGUGAAUCAUUCGAAUCUUCCGAACGCACCUUGCGCUCCUUGGUAUUCCGAGGAGCAUGCCUGUUUGAGUGUCAUU
rnacentral:rRNA from 1 species